rnacentral:lncRNA from 1 species
GUAUCCAGUAGGAUACUACGUAUCUGGAUAGAUCAAGGAUACUGAGAUACUACGUAUCUCAGCAGAUCUGGUGGAGAAUUCCUUAAUCUGGUGGAGAAAAGAAAGACUAAGCCAACAACUCUUGGAAUCAGGCAAGGAAAAGAACAUCAUUUCAGACCAAUCGCGUUCCUAUGUGAGAGAACAAUCUGGAAAGUGUGGAUCUUGCCCAUGGUGAGUUGGAGUCACCUUCUUCUAUUUUAAUGCAUCUUUUGGGAUGAAUAUUCUGUGAUUUGGUAGUG